GUGCUCGCUUCGGCAGCACAUAUACUAAAAUUGGAACGAUACAGAGAAGAUUAGCAUGGCCCCUGCGCAAGGAAAAUCAUAAACUGCUAUGAGAAUGUGAACUAUCAU
ensembl:snRNA U6 U6 spliceosomal RNA